rnacentral:lncRNA from 1 species
GCCCGCGGGGCUUCCGGGCCCGCGCCUCGCGCAGGCGGAGAACCGCGCGUCGCCGCCCGAGGACUCCCCGCGGCGCGCGCGCGCUCGGGCUCCGCGACCCCCGGGCUCGCGCGUCACUGGCCCCGCCCACCCGAACCGGCCGCGCGCCGCCGCGCAGCCCUCAGGAACCCCGCAGGCUCUGUCGCCCGAGGACGGGGAGCCGGAGACCCAGUCCUGCGCGCGCGCCUGCAACGCGGACGCGGACGAGCGCGAGGCCUACUGCGCCAGCGAAUUCGCCGUGAACGGAAUCGUGCACGACGUGGACGUGUUGGGCGCGGGCAUGCGCCUGGUGACUCUACUGGUGGACCCUGACGGCCUGUACAAGAUGAGCCGUCUGUACAUCACUCCCGACGGUUUUUUCUUCCGCGUGCAUAUACUAGCCCUGGACUCCUCCAGUUGCCAUAAGCCGUGUCCAGAAUUUAAACCCGGUAUCGAAACCCCGCCCCCCGAAAAGGAAGCAGGUAUAUUGUGAUGGGCCACAUCUACCAUAAGAGACGGCAGCUCCCCAGUGCUCUGCUCCAGGUCCUAAGAGGGCGCCUGCGUCCAGGAGACGGGCUCAUCCAGGGUAGCAGCAGCUACGUGAAGAGGUUUAACCGAAAGCACGAGUGGCAGGUUCGCGGUGCCACCCACACCCGGUGCAUUUGAACAGGCCAACGUGGCAUUCGUGGUUGGUCUUUACAUGG